rnacentral:rRNA from 1 species
GACGAACGCUGGCGGCGUGCUUAACACAUGCAAGUCGAACGGAAAGGCCCUGCUUUUGUGGGGUGCUCGAGUGGCGAACGGGUGAGUAACACGUGAGUAACCUGCCCUUGACUUUGGGAUAACUUCAGGAAACUGGGGCUAAUACCGGAUAGGAGCUCCUGCUGCAUGGUGGGGGUUGGAAAGUUUCGGCGGUUGGGGAUGGACUCGCGGUUUAUCAGCUUGUUGGUGGGGUAGUGGCUUACCAAGGCUUUGACGGGUAGCCGGCCUGAGAGGGUGACCGGCCACAUUGGGACUGAGAUACGGCCCAGACUCCUACGGGAGGCAGCAGUGGGGAAUAUUGCACAAUGGGCGGAAGCCUGAUGCAGCAACGCCGCGUGCGGGAUGACGGCCUUCGGGUUGUAAACCGCUUUCGCCUGUGAUGAAGCGUGAGUGACGGUAAUGGGUAAAGAAGCACCGGCUAACUACGUG